GGCGGCGUGCUUAACACAUGCAAGUCGAACGAUGAACCACUUCGGUGGGGAUUAGUGGCGAACGGGUGAGUAACACGUGGGCAAUCUGCCCUGCACUCUGGGACAAGCCCUGGAAACGGGGUCUAAUACCGGAUACUGACCCUCGCGGGCAUCUGCGAGGUUCGAAAGCUCCGGCGGUGCAGGAUGAGCCCGCGGCCUAUCAGCUUGUUGGUGAGGUAAUGGCUCACCAAGGCGACGACGGGUAGCCGGCCUGAGAGGGCGACCGGCCACACUGGGACUGAGACACGGCCCAGACUCCUACGGGAGGCAGCAGUGGGGAAUAUUGCACAAUGGGCGAAAGCCUGAUGCAGCGACGCCGCGUGAGGGAUGACGGCCUUCGGGUUGUAAACCUCUUUCAGCAGGGAAGAAGCGAAAGUGACGGUACCUGCAGAAGAAGCGCCGGCUAACUACGUGCCAGCAGCCGCGGUAAUACGUAGGGCGCAAGCGUUGUCCGGAAUUAUUGGGCGUAAAGAGCUCGUAGGCGGCUUGUCACGUCGGUUGUGAAAGCCCGGGGCUUAACCCCGGGUCUGCAGUCGAUACGGGCAGGCUAGAGUUCGGUAGGGGAGAUCGGAAUUCCUGGUGUAGCGGUGAAAUGCGCAGAUAUCAGGAGGAACACCGGUGGCGAAGGCGGAUCUCUGGGCCGAUACUGACGCUGAGGAGCGAAA
rnacentral:rRNA from 1 species